rnacentral:rRNA from 1 species
CAAAUAGCGGCUAAGGGCUUGCUCUUAGCCACGUUCGAUCGAGUGUCGGCU